rnacentral:lncRNA from 1 species
GUUUCGUCGCUACGCGCUGCUUCCACCCGUUCCGGAGAACCUGGAACUCCAGGAGAAAGGCCCUGUACGAACCAAUUCCUUACUCAUGCACAUUGCCGAGGAUGAGGAUGAGACACUGUUCAAGGUGAUAUGCUUGGCUAACUAUACAACCAAUCUGGUUGCAUUUCUAUUCUCUUCCGUCACAGGAGAAUGGUGCAUAGCCGCAACUGUCAGCUGGAGCUCUUUGGGCAGCCAGCCACAGAUAUGGCAAAACUUCAGAGGUUGCGAAUACCGUGGCGUGUCCUGUUUUGACUGCGCGCGCGGCUCCUACUACUCAACAUCGACUUUUAACGACAAGCUGCUUGUGUUGGACACAAGGAAAAUGGAAUUUUGCACUGUCGAUGAUCGUACUGGCUACCAUAUGAACCUCAGAUGUCUGCCUGGCCAGCACGAAGACAUUCUCGACAUCUAUGUGCCAUCCCGAUGCCGGCCUGGCCAGAGUAGAAGUCUGCCUCGCAUUGUUGUGGGUAGAGAAGGAGCCCUUGAGAUGUUUUCUCUCGUCGGUGAUCACACUCCAAAUGGCUCUUUUGAUCUCUAUCAUACCGCUCAGCAAAAUAAUGGCCAGUCUUCCAAGGAAUGGCAACUGGAGAAUAUUAUCCCGUUGCCCAGCAAGUAUGACUAUUUCACUGUGGGCGCAGCUGAGGGAUUCUUAUUCCUUGGAGCCACUACAGAAGAUCAGCUCGACAUUGUUGAAGGCUCCCCUAUGAGCUUGUUGACGACUGACUGGAAUGUAGAUUAUUUUGCAUUGGAUGUCAAGACUUCUGAACUUACUAAGGUUUGUAGGAGGAGGAGGCAAUUCUUCCAUAAAGAAGAUGUUCACUGCUACUUUGGCUUCCCCCUGUCAUUGUCAAAACCGAGUAUAUGAUGAAGUGGUAAGUUUAUUUUGUUUAUAUUUGGCGCGCUUUGGGAACUGUGUGUUGGCCAGUUGGCUAGUGGCGCGCGUCCGGCUGCGUGCCCAGCCCGCCACCCGCGUUCGAGCCACGGGCUCCGCAAGGUGUGACUGGGUUGUUUCUUCUUUUUUUUUUGAGGGAAAUGCCCUCAUGGCGGUUUAUAUUUCAUGAGCAAAAAGGGCUACAUCUUCUGACAAAAUGUCUAACAAAAAACCCGGAGGCUCGGACUGCCAUACAAUGGUUCGCGAGUCCUCCGACAUAGUAGCUAACAUAUUAGCCGCCAUAUUGGCUUCCUUAGGGCAGUGUUGAAAACUAACUGAAACAAAAUUACGACAAAUAAAAGCGCACUCCUCAUAAAUAGCUGCUGCCGGUCCAAGCGAGUUGCCUCUAGAUUGCAUCACUUGGAUCACUUCCAUACAGUCGGCCUCAAUCACCAGUUUGUUGCAGCCCAUGUCGUUUGCCAGAAUGAGGCCGUCUCGGAGCCCUCGGGCUUCCGCCGUCGCCGCGUCCUCAACGAACCGAAUGUCGCUACAUGAUGCUGCAAUGAAGGAUCCAGAAGCAUCGUGUAAGAUUGCACCUGAACCCCCUGAACCACUGUCCUCAGAAAAAGAGGCAUCUACGUUGAGUUUUACAAAUCCCUCACUUGGCUUGGUCCAUCCAUGUCUCUCAAUCUGGCCUGGACCCUUUUUCUUUGCUCUUGAGAAGUUCUUGGACAGCGUCGAAAUUGCUUGUGCUGAUCUGGGUUGUUUCUUCUUAAUUAAAAUGCCACAGGGCAAAUCCUAGUUGGUCUAGUUUUAAGAACAGAGCAGUGGCCGGUUGGUUAGUGCACAUGCCAAUGAGCUCAGGCAUCCGUGCUCGAGGCGUGGCCUCCGCAGGGUGCCUCACUUCUGCCUAAACAACAUACAGUUUUUGUUUUGGAACAGCGAGCUUCCUCGUCGAUUUCUAUUAGAGAAAAACAACAUAUAGUUAAGGGAGGGAAACUUCCCCCAUUAACCAUGUAUUUUAAUUUUUGGCAUGCUUUGCUGUCCUAAUUGUGCAUGCUGAGAGUUAAUGUUUCAUGCUAUUUUGAGAACAUAUCUAGCCAUUAAAGGUGGUCAUGAUUUAUUUCUGUCCUGUUCAAUAGUUGUCAUGCAACCUGCCAGUCAAAGAAAACAAAUUCAUUACAUAGCAGGAAAGGCAUCUCUAUCCCACCAAAUUUGCAUAUUAUGCUCAUCAGUUAAUGUUUGAGGGCCAUUCACAUUUUUGGAACGGCUUUAAUUUACCAUUCACAUCUUAAGUUCCUGCUACUAUUGUUGUUGUAUACUGCUUCCUAACUGAAAUAAGAAUACAUGAUGGCUAUGGAACAUUUGAAAGCAUGAAAGAGCAGCUUAUGUACAUUUAGUUUGAAACUGUACUGUUUUUUCAAUUUCGCAUGAAAGACAUUACUGUGAAACUAUGGAAGCAUAUUUCUGUUGCAUUUAGAUGACUUGCGUGUUAUGAGUUUUAAUUGAAUAUAUCUGCAGGGAUCAACUCGCUUUGCUUUUGGGGUUCUUGUACUUGGGCCAUGUAUCUGAUGCCUUUGAUGAAAUGGAGGAUGGGCAUGAUGGUGCUGAGAAAUAUGCUCACUGGAUAUAGCACUCAAGCCUUGGUAUUAUUCAUUAAGAAUUAGCCAUCAUGUAUUUUCUAUGGUUGUAUUAGGCUUUUUUAAGCAAAGACAUGUUGUAAACAAGCUGAAUUUGUUGAACUCUAUCUGUAAUGAGUGUUGUACUGUACUUUUGUACUGGAAGCAUGACAUUGUCUGUUUAUCCUUGUUCAGUCCUUAACCUGGCCAUGUUUGCAGCCACAUCAUGCUCUGCUCAGCAUGCUCAUGCAUCAUCUUGCUUUUAAGCAUCUGAUGAUUUGUUACAGGUUGUUGUUGCCCAUGCUGUUUCCAGUGUCCGAGUUAAUGUUUUGUUGGGUGCCUUUUCAGAAUCAGGAAAGCAACAUUUAUCUUGUCAUGUUCAAGUCACAUUUUGAUUUUUGAGGCUUCUGGAAAAAA